CUUCAAAUUCAUUGCAACCCAUCCAAAGGACCCAAGUUUUGGUGAUAUCAUUUCAGCCAUCUCCAAUUCCUCUAUGACCCAUUCCAUUUUAAUUAAUUUCAGAUAACCCAACUCCUUAUAUCUCCCCGUCCGGCCCAUUUUUGCUUUCUUUUCCCUUCACGAAGAAACCCAGCAUGAGUAUCGCAGCGACAACAAUGACCAAACGACAUCCUCACAGCCUUGAAUUGCAACAAUAUGGAGCGUCGAAAUUUGUGGGAAAGCAAUAGCUUUUUGCAUCGUCUUCCUCACCGCUCAUACAACAGUAUUUGGGCGAGUUGUACAACAAAAAAGGCUGCCAUUUCGUCCUAGCAGCUGCGAGGUUGUGCCACAUAGAAAGGGAAGGACGUUUGAAUCGAUCAAAAACGUUCAUUCCUCUUUCCUCUUCCGGAAUGGGGUUGAUAGCUUCAGAAAAGUAAGUCUCCCUAUUUUGGGUGAAAGUUCUUUUAAAAAAUUUGAAAUUUUGGUGUUGGGAUUUUCAUUUUUACCCCUGUCCCCUUCCAAAUUUCCCCAAGUUUAUUCCAAAACGUAACCUUAAGGGUCAUCUAUAAAAAAAAUGACUUCUUCUUUAUCUAGGGGGAUGAUUUUUUUUUUAGGGGGGGGAGGGGAGUUAACUUAUAGAAAGCUGAAAAAUAGGGGAAAUUUGGUAUUGAAAUUUCUUUCUCGAGUCUGAAAGGUUUUUUAGAGUAAUAAGAAAAUAAUAAUUUGAGUCACCUUGAGAAAACAUUAUCUAAGAAAUAUAGUAAGACUCUCAAAGGAGAGGGUGUUUUAGUCUUCGAUCGAGGUGUCACAUUUUCAUUCCAUUUGCAUCGUUUUGUUCUAGUUCCGCUUGAGGUUCAAAUUUGUGGUGGAAGUUUCCAGAAAUUCAUCGUCUCUGGUUCACUGCCCAGGAAAAGGUAAAUCCAUUUGUUUUUUUACUUUAACUCGUUGAUCAGUCGUUUGUUUUUCUGCAAGCUAGAGUAUCCUGUUGAUUCUUCUAUUUCUUUUUGUUUGGUUACUACCGUCCAUGACUUAUUGCUAAUGGUUUGAUGAAAGUCUGUCGGGUUUCAAGUAGAAUAUUUUUAGUUUAUUAAUGUAAGAAAUGAAUCCAUCAUACGAGUUGCCCGUCUUAAAAUAUCUAUGGAGGCUAGGAAUGAAAGGUCAGUCUGUUUGCUUUCGUUUUUCAUGAGAAUUCACUCGUUUGUUUGUUCACUAUUGGGAUUGCUCUUGGAAUAUUUCGAGUAUCGUGAUUUUAAUUUGUUUAAUCGAGAAUAUGGUUUAAGUAUGUACAUGUGGGAUGCGUAUGCUUUGAAUUAUUAUUAUUUUUUAUUUUUUAGUCUGCAAAGCGUUACUUCCCAACUUACUCUCAUGUGUUCAUGGCUAUAUUUUAAUUGUUUUCAAAUCACUAUGCUCAUCUUAGGCAUGUAUCGCUUCUUUGUUAUUUAUUCUUCUCCAUUUUUUCUAGUCUUGAACUCCAUUGUUUUUGUUUUCAUUUUCUGAAACUCAUCUUGGUUGACUUUUUAUACAUAUAAGCAUGUAUAUAGAUUCAUGUCUGAGAUGUUAUAGUUUUCUUUGUGCUUAACAGACCUCCUUCCCUAUAGAAGACUUAUAUCUUGAUUUUUCUAUAUGUUUGCCUAUUUUUUUUCUUUCUUACUAUUAAAAUGCUUUCCCCUGUUUAGUUAAAAGGGCUGAUUUAGGCUUAUCUUUUUUUUUCUAUUUCUCCUCCUUUUCAGCGUAUAUCCAUAGUUUGUCGAGUGUAUUUGCUGCCUGCUUAUUUAACCUGAAGCUAAGUGUUUAUAUUAAUUUUGUUUGUCAUAUUUCCUUCCCCAUUUUCUUUAUCUAAAACGAGCUAAGUCUUGAAGGGAUAGGAAUCAUGUGUUGUUUACAAUGAUCCGUUUUCUUCUUAAGUUAUUAACUUUUCAUUUUAUGCAUAUAUAUUUGUCAUAUUAUAGUAAGUUUGUUAGUCCCUUUUAAAAAAAUGCAUAUCCAUAUUUCUUCCGUUGUGUUGCUUUUAUUUCUUAUUUGUGAUAAAACUCAUUGUUUGUUUAUCCAACACCCUAAUACAUUAAUUGAAUAUGAUUUCUUUUGCUGUCUUGGUUUAUUGGUCGGAGGGUGUCAGAAUUAUAUUUUCUAGAUGUAUUCUUUUCUCAAGGUAACUCAAUUUGAGCUCAUUAAUUUAUUUCUUCUUUUCUUGUCGUAUGUGAAAUUCAUUCGAGUUCAUUUGGACUUCGCUCCCUGCUCUAUUUGUUGGUAACAGAGCUUAUACGUGACAAAUUAUUUGAGUUUCAUAUUUUGUUUGAGUCAAAAAUCACUUAAAAAUGCAAUGAUGUCCUAUCUUUUAGUGCUAUCGGUGCGUGGGUUUAAACCCUUUGGUAAGUUUACAUCAUUUCUUAGUGUGCUCCUAUUAGAACAUGGUAGAUAUAGCCUUUAGAAUAUGGUAGUGUGAAUUCUGUUUUAUUUGGGUGUUUUCUUACAUUAACUACAACUCUUACUUACUGUUUCUUUUGUGUUUUGCAUGUGAAAUAUGACCGGGUCCUCAUGGACCAUUAUCUAUGCAUUUUCCUAAUGGAACACAAAGGCUCAAAUCUCCAUAUCAGUUAGUCUAUCAAAAUGAAAAAUAAGUUACGGAAAAGGUGAACAGGUCUAGAUUUGAAAAAUACGCGCAAAUGAAGAAGUCGAAGAUUUGAAGAAGUUAUUCAAAAAUAUUGUAUUUUGUUAUUUUUGGGCCUAAGCCCUUUUGUAUUAUUAUUAUCUUGUUAGUUUAGGACAUGUAAAAAUCGAAUGGGCCUAAGACCCAAAAGAAAUGGGUCCAAAAACCGGUUCAGGAGGACAGAAAUCGGAUUUGGACCUCUCUCUCUCUCUCUCUCUCCCUCCCUCCCUCCCUCCCUCCCUCUCUCUCUCUCUCUCUCUCUCUCUCUAUACUUUGCUGCUUUUGCUUACUUCUUGUUAAAUUUAUGUGGUUUAGGGUUCAAAGGCUCAAAUCCCCUCAAGGCGCUAUUUCUUUUUAAUAAUUCAAAUCAAUCGAUUUUUAAACGGACUUAAAAUAUGAUAAAUUUUACAAAUUAAAUAACUCACUUAGAUAAUAUGUUAGUAUUUAACUUUUGGUAAUUCUAAAUAAAUUUUCAACUCAAACUAAGUUCAAGUUAGAUCAUUUUAGCCAAAUAAGUUAGUUCUUGGAUAAUUGUGAGUUAACAAUUGUUUUAGGUGCCGAAAUAACCUUCCUAAAAUAUAAAUGUGAAUUUAAUAGUUUGUAUAUAUUACACGGGCAUAACUAUGUAUAUUUGAUUACUAUGAGGCCGAACAUCGCCUAUGAAGGCUAUCAAAGUUUCAAUUUUAGCUGGUGUAUCUAUUACCUUAUUUAUGAUUCUACUUUCUACAUUACCUAUCAAUACAUUGUGAUUCGUAGUGACGUCUCAUUGCUUGAAGAUGUAUUUUUUGUUUUUUGCAGGUAGGUCCAGAUAGGGAUUCUAAUCGAUCCCUCAACUAGGAUUUGAGGUUCAACUAUAUUAACUAGUAUUUCAUUAUUUUGGCUCGUGUACCUUUGCUUUUGUGACUUCUGUUAUUCCGGUCAUGAUCUUAGUGGUCUGGGCUUAGUAUUUCAGAUGUAUUGCUCGACCUUCUCAAUCCACAAUUUUGUCGAAUAGUAUAUUUCAAUGGCUAACUCGUUUGAAUGAGAUAUGAAGAGUUAAUACCUCAGAUGGUCACUUGACUAUGGACUCUUCUCUUAGAAAGUCACUCAACUUUCAAUUUUCACUCAAAAGUCAUUCAACUAUGCACUUCUUUAUCAGAAAGUCACUCAACUUUGAAUUUUAACUCAAAAGUCACUCAACUAUCCACUCUUUCCUCAAAAGAACCCUCAAUUUAUUAAAUUAUUUUUUUAACUAAAAUUUAUUGAUAUUAAUUAUUAUAUAACAAAUCAAAAAAUUUAAAAAUAAAAAUACCAUUUAAACCAUUUAGUGUUCCACCCACGUAACCCGAC
rnacentral:lncRNA from 1 species